rnacentral:rRNA from 1 species
UACGGAGGGUGCGAGCGUUGCCCGGAAUCACUGGGCGUAAAGGGCGCGUAGGCGGCGCGGAUAGUCGGCGGUGAAAGCCCGGAGCUCAACUCCGGGUCGGCCGUCGAUACUUCCGGGCUUGAGCACUGUAGAGGCAGAUGGAAUUCCGGGUGUAGCGGUGGAAUGCGUAGAGAUCCGGAAGAACACCGGUGGCGAAGGCGGUCUGCUGGGCAGUUGCUGACGCUGAUGCGCGACAGCGUGGGGAGCAAACAGG